CCCAGGUAAAGAUGUCCCUCAAACUCGAAUGCUGAGGUAACAAAGGAGUUGACUUUCCCGUCAGGAUCGUCAAGCUUCUUGAUUAUUUUGCCAUCAGCUCCCACAUGCAAAACGCUUGCUUUUCUGUACGCUCCAUUCACUUUCUUGAUCAUACUUGGGUACGUUGCUAUCAAGUGCUUGGCUGCCUUGGAGGUGUGCACGAAUUCCCACCCUUCAGAUGUCACCUGCACCAAAUUUGCAAUGAGCAGUGACAGAGCGUACGAAAACACAAGGUCCGAAAGAAGCUGAACCCCUCGCAGUGGCAUGCACGUAGUUCUGCCCAAAAUCAGGGGCAUUAUUAUCUCCUUGAGAGCACUAAUCUCUCUGGGUUUAGAUCUUUAGUUAUCCUUUUGAGAAAAGCUUGCGGAUAUACCUGCAAUAGGGCAAUCCAAAAAGAUCCGUCGGGGGCAAGAUUGAUGUUGUCAGGUCCGCCCGGAAGAUUGUCAAUGAAAAUCUCUGUUUUCCCUGCCUCUUCUCCCUUCAGCCAAUGCCUUAAACACCUAAAUCUACGAAACACACACAUGCCCGUAAGCAGAGUUGCACCACAUUUUUUUCCUGUCUUUCCGCUAAACUACCCUAAGAUGCUUUAAUUUUUCAAGAGAAAUUCCAAUGUAUGAGCUCUAUAAAUUGUGAAUUGAGGGAUAUACUCACUUCCAAGUCUCACAGACAAUGAGAAAAUCUUCAUCCCUAGAGAGAGCAACACCAUUGGCGAAGCACAAGUCAUCAAGAACAAUCGAAGUUUGUGACGAUGAAGGGUUGAAUUUGAGAAGCUGGCCAUGAGGUUUCGCCUCGAGGACAUCCAAGUACCAAUUGUGGAGGGAGAACUUGGUGCUGGCUACGCUGAAAUAUAGACUCCCGUCUAAUGCUUCAAUGACGUCGUCUGCGAAUCUAUAUGUGGCAAUCAUAGUAAAAAACAUUAAGUUUUGACGGUUUUUGUGAUAAAUUUGCUCCUUGUGCUUAUGUCAAUUCGUGUGCAAGUCCACCAUAAUCCUCCAACCUUGGCCUAUUUCCGGCCAGACUUGAUGGUAUUCGGUGUCAUGCUCGAUCCACCAAGAUGAAUAUAAUAGCAUUUGAUCUACCAAGGUUGUCUAAACCUAUCAAUCAUUAUGGCAAUUAAUUUUUUACCCAAAAUGUGGUCUGAGUUUGGUCCCGGAUCAGGUCUAAUUGCUAGUGUUUCGUGAAUUUGCUCCAUCUAGCAUAUUAUGCAGUAUAUAUAUAGAGAUAGCAACAUCAAAUGUACGUAAUAUUGUAGGAAUUAGUCUACUAAAUAAUCUGACAAACUCUAAUUUAGCAUAUAAGAGAGUUACUUAUGACCUAUUAAACCUUCUUGGUAUCUUCAACAUUGUUGUUGGAGGAAUAUGAGGACAAGACAAUCUAUUCUCACGUAUCCCCAACAAUAUGUCCUUUUCUUUUCUUUUUCUCAUUUGAUAACAACGUAAUGCUAUCCUAAUUGCGAACUCAGCCAUUUGUCUUUUCCAUGACAAGACAACUCAUUUUAACAAGUAAAUCCCAUGAAAUUUUGUCAUAAGAAUACCCGCUAAUCUUACAUAUAAAUUUAAUUAGAGCUCAACUCUUUUUUGUCCUUAUAAACUUUCCAAAUUCUUAUAAUCGAAAGCACUCGAAUGUCUAAAUUAAUUAUGAGUUCAAGUUGGAGGAGUUCAUCAGAUAAGGAUGUGCAGCCUUGUACGUCCCUUCACAGACUGUGGUCCCUUGUCCACUUCCCUUUGUGAGGAGGAGGUCGAGAAAAUCUCAGAGCCACGCAAAUCGAUAGACAAAAGAACAGCUUCUCUGUUGUUGUCCGGUUACUUACAAACAAACACCCAUCAUACGUCGUUGUCAAUGACAAAGUGAGGAAGAAGUGAGGAAGAAAAUGGGGAGAUUCCUAAAGCUCAGCCACACAUAGCACAUAUACUAAUGAAAAGCUGCCGCCUUUCUUCCGCAAAUGCUUCCGCAUGGCUUGGUUUCGAGUUUUGUUAUAAUAUUUAAAGGAUAAACUACGUAUUCAUCUAAUAAUUUAAAUUUUUAAAAUGAUUGAUUGUAGUUCUAUAAAAUCUCAAAUUCAAAUUUUAUCAGGCUUCAUUUGCUUCAUUAAUUAAAUUUUCAUUCUUAAUACUAGACAAAAUACCAGAUUAAGUGUGAGAGGAAAUGUUAUAAUAUACAUAUGAUAAAUUACUCAAUCUAACAGUUUAAGUUUUUAAAAUAGUUUACUAAAGUGAAAGUGUUAUAAUAUUUGAAUGAUAAAUCACGCAUUCAUUUAAUAAUUUAAGCUUUUAAAACAGUUGCUUAUAAUCUCAUAAAAUCUCAUAAAUUGUCAUGUUUAGUACUUUGCUCCAAGAGCACAACAGUUGCUUAUAAUCCCAUAAAAUCUCAUAAGUUGUCAUGUUUAGUACUUUGCUUAUUGUGUGCUCUUGGGGCCACCCAAGAGAAUAGAUGUGCGUGUUUUCAGGAAUUACUGGUGCGAGUGGAAAGAGUGUCCGAGGAAUAGGUUGAAAUUAAAAAGAACUAAUGUUGAUCACAAUGAUUAAGAACAUUACCUUAAUUCAGAUCCAUUAACAUGCGAUAAGAGGACCUUCGGAUGACCAUCUUCAUCCACCCAGAUCAAGCCCUAGCCAAAUCACAAUCAUCGAGAACUUACCCAUAAACGCUUCACAAUUCAUUUCAUAAACCAAGAUCAUCAUCUCUUUAUCAUAUCAUGCAUACCUUUUCAGCAUCACACACGAUGAUACCACCUCUCCUGGUCGCUGUAAUCCCCAGAAGGGUCUGACUGUUCAACAUGGUCCAAUUUUCCCAGGACCCGUCUCGGUGCAACCUCUUGAUCCAACCAUCUCUAGUCGCAGUGUGGAGCACGCCAUUUUCGUCUACCAAUACGUCCUCUGGGUCUUUCACUACACCCUCUCCAACUUUACCCACACCCUGCAUGAACCAGAAAGCUUUUCACAUGAAUGAAGAACCGAGAAAUGAAAGACAUGAUAGUUGGAACCUUCUGUAUGACGAAGCUUUUCAAUUACCUGCAGGUGGGUGUUUGUGGGAAGAGAAGCUAAAGACGAUGGUUGCGGUAAAUGGAGCAAGUCGGGAGAUAUCGGCGAAAAGAUGAAGAUUUGCAGCACUAUGGCGAGGACACAAGCCAAGACGAAGCCCGAGAAUGGUGGCAAAAAGCGGCUCAAGAAGCCGAAUAGAGCCAUUGCGAUAGAGGGAAAGAGUGACAAGGAUGAAAUCUAGAAGAAGAAAUGUUUUUGACGGGAAUACAAGUCCACUUAUUGUGAGAGAACCGUAAUAGAAGACGGGUCUGAGUUUUCGGCGGAGAUGAAGAAAAUUGUUCAAUUAUUACUCGAAUUUGAAUCGUAUACGAAACUUGAUCCGGUUGAACGAUGUAGAUAGGUUAGGACAUAAAUCCAAAAGUUUUAAUUGGAUUAGAAUUCCUUUUGGAGGCAUGGGGAUUUGUUUCUAUUUGAAGUGGAAAAGAAUAAUAUCUAGAUUUGUUUCAUCUUUGGCCCCUAUGCCACCGUUGAUGAGGUUGGCCUUGCCUAGCCAUGGCAAGGCCAAGCUAGCCAUGGUUGGGAAAGGCCUCGCCAGAUUUGGCGAGGCUUGACUGCACCUCACUAGUGGCUUGUGAGGGGGAGCCUCAUCAUUGACUAGUAAGCCUCACCAACUCUUGCCUCUAACUGGCCCCAAUGGCGAUCAAUUAAAGAAAGGAGGAUAAAAAGAAAAAGAGAUAAAUAAUAUUAAAAAUUGUUCAUGUCAUCAUUGGUCGGAUGGUCAGCGUUCACGUCAUUGCUGGCUAGCUAAAUUGGCUGAUUGGACUAAAUUGAUACGAAUGUAUAAUUUAUAACUAAAUUGGUAUAAUUACAAUAGAUUUGAAACUUUUCUAAUAAUUUUCCCUAAUUUUGUCUAUGGUUCUGUUUUCAAUUUCAUAGUGGCACCUGUCUUUCAUACUUUUCAAAUGAUAGUUUGCUUAAAGCUUGACCAUCGGGUAAAUUCAGUCUACUCAACAAUUUCUUGAAAUUGUUAUGGAAUCUGCCUCUUGAAAUCAUCGAAGUUUCACAGUUCAAAACCAGCGAAGCAAAUGAUGCGAUAAUACAUGUAAAAGCUCAACUACCUCCCCAUGUGAACUACUCCCGUCUACCGAUAUCAGCGUAAAACAAUUAGAGUGAACGUUACAUUAGGCAUAUUCAUCAGAUGAGGGGCAAUUUUCCAAUGAAGUUGGAGUUGAGACUUGAUGACCCUCAAAACUCAAAUGCUGAGGUAACAAAGGAGAUGACUUUUGCGUCAGGAUCGUCGAGCUUCUUGAUUAUUUUGCCAUCAGCUCCCACAUGCAAAACACUUGCUUUUCUGUGCACUCCACUCGCUUUCUUGAUCAAACUAGGGUAUGUUGCUAUCAAGUGCUUGGCUGCCUUGGAGGCGUGCACGAACUCCCGCCCUUCACAUAUCAACUGCAUCAAUUUGCAAAAGAGCAGUGAUGGAGCUUCCGCAAAACAUGGUCCGAAAGAAGUCGAAACCUUCGCGAUGGCAUGUAUGCAAUUUUUGCCCAAAAUCAGGGGCACUAUUGUCUCCCUAAGAGCACCGAUCACUUUGGGUUUAGAUUUUCAGUUGUUAUCUCGCGAAAAU
rnacentral:lncRNA from 1 species